AUCUUCCACAAUGGGCGUAAGCCUGAUGGAGCACCGCCGCGUGAGUGAAGAAGGUUUUCGGAUCGUAAAACUCUGUUGUAAGGGAAGAACAAGUACAGUAGUAACUGACUGUACCUUGACGGUACCUUAUUAGAAAGCCACGGCUAACUACGUUCCAGCAGCCGCGGUAAUACGUAGGUGGCAAGCGUUGUCCGGAAUUAGUGGGCGUGAAGCGCGCGCAGGCGGUCCUUUAAGUCUGAUGUGAAAGCCAACGGCUCAACCGUGGAGGGUAAUUGGAAACUGGGGGACUUGAGUGCAGAAGAGGAAAGUGGAAUUCAAAGUGUAGCGGUGAAAUGCGUAGAGAUUUGGAGGAACACCAGUGGCGAAGGCGACUCUCUGGUCUGUAACUGACGCUGAGGCGCGAAAGCGUGGGGAGCAAACA
rnacentral:rRNA from 1 species